UGACCUGCACACAGGUGCUGCAUGGCUGUCGUCAGCUCGUGUCGUGAGAUGUUGGGUUAAGUCCCGCAACGAGCGCAACCCUCGCCUCUAGUUGCCAGCAUUCAGUUGGGCACUCUAGAGGGACUGCCGGUGAUAAGCCGAGAGGAAGGUGGGGAUGACGUCAAGUCCUCAUGGCCCUUACGGGCUGGGCUACACACGUGCUACAAUGGCGGUGACAGUGGGCAGCCAACCAGCGAUGGUGCGCUAAUCCCAAAAAGCCGUCUCAGUUCGGAUUGCACUCUGCAACUCGAGUGCAUGAAGUCGGAAUCGCUAGUAAUCGUAGAUCAGCAUGCUACGGUGAAUACGUUCCCGGGCCUU
rnacentral:rRNA from 1 species